rnacentral:rRNA from 1 species
UAUUGCACAAUGGGGGAAACCCUGAUGCAGCGACGCCGCGUGAGUGAAGAAGUAUUUCGGUAUGUAAAGCUCUAUCAGCAGGGAAGAANAUGACGGUACCUGAUUAAGAAGAUGCGGCUAACGACGUGCCAGCAGCCGCGGUAAUACGUAGGGGGCAAGCGUUAUCCGGAUUUACUGGGUGUAAAGGGAGCGUAGACGGCAGCACAAGUCUGGAGUGAAAUGCCGGGGCUUAACCCCGGAACUGCUUUGGAACCUGUGCAGCUAGAGUGCAGGAGAGGUAAGUGGAAUUCCUAGUGUAGCGGUGAAAUUCGUAGAUAUUAGGAGGAGCACCAGUGGCGAAGGCGGCUUACUGGACUGUAACUGACGUUGAGGCUCGAAAGCGUGGGGAGCAAACAGG